AGCCCAGCAACUCAUAUCCCUACCUCUUCGUGGUACCGGCCGGAAACUAUGAGCAUCCUUAGGGAAGAUCGCGUAACCAUCCAUGGUGGGAACUUUCGUCAUAGGCUGACAUGGAAGG
rnacentral:ribozyme from 1 species